ACUACGGGAGGCAGCAGUGAGGAAUAUUGGUCAAUGGGCGCGAGCCUGAACCAGCCAAGUAGCGUGAAGGAUGACUGCCCUACGGGUUGUAAACUUCUUUUAUAAAGGAAUAAAGUGAGGCACGUGUGCCUCUUUGUAUGUACUUUAUGAAUAAGGUUCGGCUAACUCCGUGCCAGCAGCCGAGGUAAUACGGAGGAUUCAAGCGUUAUCCGGAUUUAUUGGGUUUAAAGGGUGCGUAGGCUGUCGGAUAAGUUGGCGGUGAAAUCCCGAGGCGCAACUUCGGAAUUGCCUCUGAUACUGUUCGGCUAGCGAGUAGUUGCGGUAGGCGGAAUGUAUGGUGUAGCAGUGAAAUGCUUAGAGAUCAUACAGAACACCGAUUGCGAAGGCAGCUUACCAGGCUACUACUGACGUUGAGGCACG
rnacentral:rRNA from 1 species